CUGCUGUUAAAAAGCUCGUAGUUGGAUCAAGAGUUGGACAGUGCACGGUGGCCCUGUUUGUUAGGUUGGCUCCGGUCAGUCUAGCGGCAGCGGAACAACCCCGUGCGCCAAACUGUCCACUCUAACAGGUCGAAACGGUUCCCUGUGAGUAGGUUUCUUAAUUGAGACUGAAAGCGCCUACGCAUCAACCAUAUGCAUACGGGACGUCGACCAAUGUUACUGUGAACAAACCAGCGUGUCCAAAGCAGGCUUCCGCCUGAAUGUUCGAGCAUGGAAUAACAAGGGAUCGAUUCUCUCGGUUCUUUUUGUUGGUUUUUAACCCGAGAAGGAGAAAUUCAGGCCACGGUGUCUGAGUUGGGUUUCCCUGGGCUUCGGCUCAGGCCCCAAUUAGGCCGUGUCCUUACGGGAUCAAUAGGGACUGACGGGGUCGUAGCUACUUCCGCGUCAGAGGUGAAAUUCUUAGAUCGCGGGAAGAGCAACUUCUGCGAAAGCAUUCGACAAGAAUGUC
rnacentral:rRNA from 1 species